rnacentral:rRNA from 1 species
AUUCCCCUCUUUCUUUAGGCCUAACACAUGCAAGUCGAACGGCAGCACAGUAAGAGCUUGCUCUUACGGGUGGCGAGUGGCGGACGGGUGAGGAAUACAUCGGAAUCUACUUUUUCGUGGGGGAUAACGUAGGGAAACUUACGCUAAUACCGCAUACGACCUACGGGUGAAAGCAGGGGAUCUUCGGACCUUGCGCGAUUGAAUGAGCCGAUGUCGGAUUAGCUAGUUGGCGGGGUAAAGGCCCACCAAGGCGACGAUCCGUAGCUGGUCUGAGAGGAUGAUCAGCCACACUGGAACUGAGACACGGUCCAGACUCCUACGGGAGGCAGCAGUGGGGAAUAUUGGACAAUGGGCGCAAGCCUGAUCCAGCCAUACCGCGUGGGUGAAGAAGGCCUUCGGGUUGUAAAGCCCUUUUGUUGGGAAAGAAAAGCAGCAGGUUAAUACCCCGCUGUUCUGACGGUACCCAAAGAAUAAGCACCGGCUAACUUCGUG